GCUGUGAGAUAUCGGUGGGCGAGGAUGUGAUGCCUGAAGAUGUGGCAUCUACCUUGAAACAGUCAAGGACCUGAGGAUGAAGCCAGCAUCUGAGGAAGACAGACAGAAAGGAUCUGGAUACAUCAUGAGCCUGAAAAGUAUCUUGCAUACACAACUGGCAGCACAGAAUCCUGACAAACCUCUCAUCAGAAAUCAACCACAGACUCUUUAUGCUCUUACCAAAAUGCUGGCUUUGAGAACUAAUUAUGAAUGAAAAUUACUGAUGUGAUUUUCAGUCUAGGGAAGAAUAUCAAGUUAAACUUUAUGAAGUCCAAGACAAUGGGAAAAGAAGAGGUGUUCCUGUCCAGGCCCUCUUCCAGUUAGAAGGUGAUGGUUUCCAGAAGUCUGCACCUGUAUUUCAAUUACCUAUAAUGGAGUUUAUAGGACUAAACUAUAUUCACUAUAUUUUCUUAUUUUUGUGUGUGUGUUUGAUGUGCUGGCAACUGGGGACUUGGUAACUGGGGAGGGAUAGCUCUUCUCAGGAAGAGCUAAUUCUUAGAGAUACAGGGAGCAUGCUUUUCAUAUGCAAACUACUCAAACUGGAGUCCACACUUCCCCAACCUCCUCUAUAGGACUCUUACUCUCCUGCCCGAUAUUCCCCUGCUCUAAUCAUCUUGGGGCCAGGUACCAGGCAACUCAGGACGGCCACUACACCUCCAGAGCCCACUGACAUUAUUAAAACUAGACAAUUCUAAGCUGCUUGCCCUACCUUGACCUUAUUCCUUUUGUUGCAAAACGCAAUAAAGGGUCUUGCCACAUUUUCCUUCUGCUCCCUCUGCCUCCGGACUGACCCUGGUGCUUUCCUUUGUGGGCCUUCGUGGCUUACCUCGUGUUUCUA
rnacentral:lncRNA from 10 species